UACGUAGGGUGCAAGCGUUGUCCGGAUUUAUUGGGCGUAAAGAGCGUGUAGGCGGCCUGACAAGUCUGCUGUGAAAACUCGAGGCUCAACCUCGAGAUGUCGGCGGAAACUGUCUGGCUGGAGUCCGGAAGAGGAGAGUGGAAUUCCUGGUGUAGCGGUGAAAUGCGCAGAUAUCAGGAAGAACACCUAUGGCGAAGGCAGCUCUCUGGGACGGUACUGACGCUGAGACGCGAAAGCGUGGGGAGCGAACAGG
rnacentral:rRNA from 1 species